rnacentral:rRNA from 1 species
GACAGAGGAUGAAGCGUUAUCCGGAAUGAUUGGGCGUAAAGCGUCUGUAGGUGGCUUUUCAAGUCCGCCGUCAAAUCCCAGGGCUCAACCCUGGACAGGCGGUGGAAACUACCAAGCUGGAGUGCGGUAGGGGCAGAGGGAAUUUUCGAUGGAGCGGUGAAAUGCAUUGAGAUCGGAAAGAACACCAACGGCGAAAGCACUCUGCUGGGCCGACACUGACACUGAGAGACGAAAGCUAGGGGAGCAAAUGGG